rnacentral:SRP_RNA from 1 species
GGAAGGCUGGCGGCGGACGGACUCCUCGCCAACCCGGUCAGGCCCGGAAGGGAGCAGCCGUAACGAGUUUUCGGUCCGGGUCGCCGUCCAGUCUUCCACC